GGGGGCGCACAGGUUUCGACGGGGAACAGAGCAACUCCACGAUGGCGUGCCGGAUCCAUCCGUCAACUGGAAACCACACAACUGCCAACGAUAACUUGGCUCUCGCGGCUUAAGCCGUGACGCGUCGUCGCACAGCCUGAUCCGCGGCUGGCGGCGAGGCGACGACUAAAGCGGAUCGAAGGGUUCGGAGGGCCCCGCGCCGAGCCCGGAUCUUUUGCGGGGCUGGCGACUGUGCCGGCUGCCUUCGGCCCAAGCACAGCGGCGAGACAACGAUUCGGAGGCUACGCACGUAGACGUUGUGGGGUUGCGUUUUCCGGACGUGGGUUCGAUUCCCACCGCCUCCACCA
rnacentral:tmRNA from 1 species